CAGUUGAAAAUGGAGGGGAUGAGCUGUGGGUAGGGGUGAAAGGCCAAUCAAACUUCGUGAUAGCUGGUUCUCCCCGAAAUGCAUUUAGGUGCAGCGUUACGUGUUUCUUGCCGGAGGUAGAGCUACUGGAUGGCCGAUGGGCCCUACAAGGUUACUGACGUCAGCCAAACUCCGAAUGCCGGUAAGUGAGAGCGUAGCAGUGAGACUGUGGGGGAUAAGCUUCAUAGUCGAGAGGGAAACAGCCCAGACCACCAACUAAGGCCCCUAAGCGUGUGCUAAGUGGGAAAGGAUGUGGAGUUGCUUAGACAACCAGGAGGUUGGCUUAGAAGCAGCCACCCUUGAAAGAGUGCGUAAUAGCUCACUGGUCAAGUGAUUCCGCGCCGACAAUGUAGCGGGGCUCAAGUACACCGCCGAAGUUGUGGCAUUGCACCAAUGAUACCCAACCGGUCCUAGAGGCCGGUUCAGGUGGUGCGAUGGGUAGGGGAGCGUCGUGUGGGCAGUGAAGCUGCGGGGUGACCCAGUGGUGGAGCCCACACGAGUGAGAAUGCAGGCAUGAGUAGCGAAUGACGGGUGAGAAACCCGUCCGCCGGAUGAUCAAGGGUUCCAGGGUCAAGCUAAUCUGCCCUGGGUCAGUCGGGACCUAAGGCGAGGCCGACAGGCGUAGUCGAUGGACAACGGGUUGAUAUUCCCGUACCGGCGAAGAACCGCCCCUAUCGAACCGGGGACACUAACCACCCGAACCGGGCCAUGCGGUGACCAUUGGUCGCCGCCGGCACCGGGGAGCGUGGGACC
rnacentral:rRNA from 1 species